rnacentral:rRNA from 1 species
CGGGUGGUAAUGCCGGAUGUUCCACAUGAUCGCAUGUGAUUGUGGGAAAGAUUUCAUCGGCGUGGGAUGGGGUCGCGUCCUAUCAGCUUGUUGGUGAGGUAACGGCUCACCAAGGCUUCGACGGGUAGCCGGCCUGAGAGGGCGACCGGCCACAUUGGGACUGAGAUACGGCCCAGACUCCUACGGGAGGCAGCAGUGGGGAAUAUUGCACAAUGGGCGCAAGCCUGAUGCAGCGACGCCGCGUGAGGGAUGGAGGCCUUCGGGUUGUAAACCUCUUUUGUUUGGGAGCAAGCCUUCGGGUGAGUGUACCUUUCGAAUAAGCGCCGGCUAACUACGUGCCAGCAGCCGCGGUAAUACGUAGGGCGCAAGCGUUAUCCGGAUUUAUUGGGCGUAAAGGGCUCGUAGGCGGCUCGUCGCGUCCGGUGUGAAAGUCCAUCGCUUAACGGUGGAUCUGCGCCGGGUACGGGCGGGCUGGAGUGCGGUAGGGGAGACUGGAAUUCCCGGUGUAACGGUGGAAUGUGUAGAUAUCGGAAAAAAACACC